UACGUAGGGUGCAAGCGUUAUCCGGAAUCACUGGGCGUAAAGCGUGCGUAGGUGGUUUGCUAAGUGAAAUGUUAAAUCGUGUGGCUCAACCAUAUCGAUGCAUCUCAUACUGGCAGACUAGAGGACGGCAGAGGCAAGUGGAAUUGGUAGUGUAGCAGUGAAAUGCGUAGAUAUUACCAGGAACACCAAUGGCGAAGGCAGCUUGCUGGGCCGCCCCUGACACUGAGGUACGAAAGCGUGGGGAGCGAACAGG
rnacentral:rRNA from 1 species